rnacentral:rRNA from 1 species
AUUGAACGCUGGCGGCAGGCUUAACACAUGCAAGUCGAACGGUAGCAGGAAGAAAGCUUGCUUUCUUUGCUGACGAGUGGCGGACGGGUGAGUAAUGCUUGGGAAUCUGGCUUAUGGAGGGGGAUAACUGUGGGAAACUGCAGCUAAUACCGCGUAAUCUCUGAGGAGUAAAGGGUGGGACCUCUUGGCCACCUGCCAUAAGAUGAGCCCAAGUGGGAUUAGGUAGUUGGUGGGGUAAAGGCCUACCAAGCCUGCGAUCUCUAGCUGGUCUGAGAGGAUGACCAGCCACACUGGAACUGAGACACGGUCCAGACUCCUACGGGAGGCAGCAGUGGGGAAUAUUGCGCAAUGGGGGGAACCCUGACGCAGCCAUGCCGCGUGAAUGAAGAAGGCCUUCGGGUUGUAAAGUUCUUUCGGUAAUGAGGAAGGGAUGUUGUUAAAUAGAUGGCAUCAUUGACGUUAAUUACAGAAGAAGCACCGGCUAACUCCGUGCCAGCAGCCGCGGUAAUACGGAGGGUGCGAGCGUUAAUCGGAAUAACUGGGCGUAAAGGGCACGCAGGCGGACUUUUAAGUGAGAUGUGAAAUCCCCGAGCUUAACUUGGGAAUUGCAUUUCAGACUGGGAGUCUAGAGUACUUUAGGGAGGGGUAGAAUUCCACGUGUAGCGGUGAAAUGCGUAGAGAUGUGGAGGAAUACCGAAGGCGAAGGCAGCCCCUUGGGAAUGUACUGACGCUCAUGUGCGAAAGCGUGGGGAGCAAACAGGAUUAGAUACCCUGGUAGUCCACGCUGUAAACGCUGUCGAUUUGGGGAUUGGGCUAUAUGYYUGGUGCCCGAAGCUAACGUGAUAAAUCGACCGCCUGGGGAGUACGGCCGCAAGGUUAAAACUCAAAUGAAUUGACGGGGGCCCGCACAAGCGGUGGAGCAUGUGGUUUAAUUCGAUGCAACGCGAAGAACCUUACCUACUCUUGACAUCCAGAGAAGCUUGCAGAGAUGCGAGUGUGCCUUCGGGAGCUCUGAGACAGGUGCUGCAUGGCUGUCGUCAGCUCGUGUUGUGAAAUGUU